rnacentral:rRNA from 1 species
GACUACUGGUGUAUCUAAUCCUGUUUGCUCCCCACGCCUUCGAGCCUCAACGUCAGUUACAGUCCAGUAAGCCGCCUUCGCCGCCGGUGUUCCUCCUGAUAUCUACGCAUUUCACCGCUACACCAGGAAUUCCGCUUACCUCUCCUGCACUCCAGCUUCACAGUUUCCAGAUCAGUUCCGGGGUUGGGCCCCGGCAUUUCACUCCAGACUUGCGCUGCCGUCUACGCUCCCUUUACACCCAGUAAAUCCGGAUAACGCUUGCCCCCUACGUAUUACCGCGGCUGCUGGCACGUAGUUAGCCGGGGCUGCUUGGUCAGGGACCGUCAUCUUCUUCCGUGCCGAUAGGGCGGUACGCGCCGAAACGCUCCGUCACCCACGCGGCGUCGCUGCAUCAGGGUUCGCCCCAUUGUGCAAUAUCCCCCACUGCUGCCCCCCGUAGUC